AGCGUAGACGGAUGGACAAGUCUGAUGUGAAAGGCUGGGGCUCAACCCCGGGACUGCAUUGGAAACUGCCCGUCUUGAGUGCCGGAGAGGUAAGCGGAAUUCCUAGUGUAGCGGUGAAAUGCGUAGAUAUUAGGAGGAACACCAGUGGCGAAGGCGGCUUACUGGACGGUAACUGACGUUGAGGCUCGAAAGCGUGGGGAGCAAACA
rnacentral:rRNA from 1 species